UAAUAAAAAAUUUACUUAGUUUGUUGGAAUUGUUAAUUUUUUUAAUAAAAUCAUUUUUUAGGUAAUAAGUUUGUGUAUAGGUUAUAGAUAGAAUUUUAAUAGUGAUAGUUUAAUUGUAUUGUGAAAGAAUGUUGAAAUAUUUUGAAAAUUCAUUUAGGUUAAAGUAGAUUUUAUUUAUUGUACCUUGUGUAUCAGGGUUCAUCAAAAAAUUUAUAAAUAUUUAUAUUUCCCGAUUUAAAGAGAGCUAAGUCUUUCUGUUAGUUAAUGUAGAAUAAUUAUUAAUUAGAAAGAUUUAGUAAUGAAACGUUAUUCGUUCUUUAAGGUAUCUGGUUUUUUAAGAAAUGAAUUAAAUUCAGUUAUUAGAUUUUAUUGAUUUAAUUAAUUAAGUUAUUAUAAUCUAAUAAAAAUAUUUAGGGGGAUAAGCUUCUAAGUAUAAACUUAUAAAAUGAAGUUUUAAUUAAGAUUUUGUAGGCUUAGAAUUAGCCAUCAAUUGGAGGAUGUUAUAAUUCAUUUUUAAUAAAAUAUGAUUUUUUAUAGAAUUUAAGUUUUUUAUUAAAAUGUAACUUUGAAUUUUAAAAAGUUAGUGAUAAUGAUGAAAUUAGUAUAAAUUAUUGUUUGUUUUUAUAUAGCUGUGAGGUUACAUUAAGGAAUUCGGCAAAUAAGUGCUCGCCUGUUUAACAAAAACAUGUCCUCAUGAAAAUAAUUUGAGGUCUAGCCUGCCCACUGAAUUUUAAUAUAUUUGAAGGGCCGCGGUAUUUUGACCGUGCAAAGGUAGCAUAAUCAUUAGUCUUUUAAUUGGAGGCUGGAAUGAAUGGUUGGACGAGGCACUGACUGUCUCAGUGUAAAUGAUAUUAGAAUUUAACUUUUAAGUCAAAAGGCUUAAAUAGGUUUAAAGGACGAGAAGACCCUAUAGAGCUUUAUAUUGAACAAUUAUUAUAUAUUUAGUUGUCUUUUUGUGAUAUUUGGGAAAAUAUUUUGUUGGGGUGACAGGAAGAUAAAGUAAACUCUUUUUAAUUGUUAACCAUUAAUUUAUGAAUAGUUGAUCCAUUAUUAGUGAUUAUAAGACUAAGUUACCUUAGGGAUAACAGCGUAAUCUUUUUUGAGAGUUCUUAUCGACAAGAAGGGUUGCGACCUCGAUGUUGGAUUAAGGGUAAUUUUGGGUGUAGAUGUUCAAAGUUUAGGUCUGUUCGACCUUUAGAUCCUUACAUGAUCUGAGUUCAGACCGGCGUAAGCCAGGUCGGUUUCUAUCCUUAAUAAUUUAUGAUACUUUAGUACGAAAGGACCAAGUAUUGGGAAUAAAAUUUCUUAUUAAAUUGAUUAAUAUUAAUAG
rnacentral:rRNA from 1 species